CACCUCGAUGUCGGCUCAUCACAUCCUGGGGCUGAAGUAGGUCCCAAGGGUAUGGCUGUUCGCCAUUUAAAGUGGUACGCGAGCUGGGUUUAGAACGUCGUGAGACAGUUCGGUCCCUAUCUGCCGUGGGCGCUGGAGAAUUGAGGGGGGCUGCUCCUAGUACGAGAGGACCGGAGUGGACGCAUCACUGGUGUUCGGGUUGUCAUGCCAAUGGCAUUGCCCGGUAGCUAAAUGCGGAAGAGAUAAGUGCUGAAAGCAUCUAAGCACGAAACUUGCCCCGAGAUGAGUUCUCCCUGACYCUUWAAGRGUCCUGAAGGAACGUUGAAGACGACGACGUUGAUAGGCCGGGUGUGUAAGCGCAGCGAUGCGUUGAGCUAACCGGUACUAAUGAACCGUGAGGCUUAACCUUACAACGCCGAAG
rnacentral:rRNA from 1 species